CCUCCAAGAAUACGUUACAGGAAAAAAAAGAGAAUACUGAAGUCUCACAACAAUAACUCAGUUGACCCUUGUAUGAGAAACCUGGAUGAGUGUGAGGUGUGCCGGGAUGGAGGGGAGCUGUUCUGUUGCGACACUUGUUCAAGAGUCUUCCAUGAGGACUGUCACAUCCCACCUGUGGAAGCUGAGAGGUAAGUGACAUGCAGGCGCCUCUCUUUUUGUCCUUUAAGGGACCUUCCAUCUGCCAUGCGCACUCCCCAGCAGAGUGCCGGCUUAUGUCUAGAUAGGGAAGGAGCAGGUUCAUUGGGUACUGGGACCCAGCAGUGUGAUCCAGAGAGCAGUGGGAGAUGCUGGCAGCAGGAGGUUAAUGUUCUCUGUGCUCUCAGGGACACCUCCUCGGAUAUGCUGAGGCCAGUGUUGGGGACCUUUGCCUACAUACUGGUAUUGUCCUUUCCUUGAAGUUUUGCAGCUGGGUGGGUUGGAGACAAGAAACACCAGUUGUUUAUAUUUUGUGCUUAUUCAUACAAGACAGGAAGCACG
rnacentral:sRNA from 1 species